rnacentral:rRNA from 1 species
GAUGAACGCUAGCGAUAGGCCUAACACAUGCAAGUCGAGGGGCAUCACAUGAAGUAGCAAUACGGAUGGUGGCGACCGGCGCACGGGUGAGUAACACGUAUGCAACCUGCCUUCAACAAGGGGAUAACCCGUUGAAAGACGGACUAAUACCCUAUAACACAGGGGUCCCGCAUGGGAAUAUUUGUUAAAGGACAACCGGUUGAAGAUGGGCAUGCGUUCCAUUAGCUAGUUGGCGGGGUAACGGCCCACCAAGGCAACGAUGGAUAGGGGAACUGAGAGGUUUAUCCCCCACACUGGUACUGAGACACGGACCAGACUCCUACGGGAGGCAGCAGUGAGGAAUAUUGGUCAAUGGACGCAAGUCUGAACCAGCCACGUCGCGUGAAGGAAGACGGCCCUAGGGUGUAAACUUCUUUUAUACGGGAAUAAAGUGCCCCACGCGUGGGGUUUUGCAUGUACCGUAUGAAUAAGGAUCGGCUAACUCCGUG